rnacentral:rRNA from 1 species
AUUGAACGCUGGCGGCAAGCCUAACACAUGCAAGUCGAACGAGUGGCGGACGGGUGAGUAAUGUCUGGGAAACUGCCUGAUGGAGGGGGAUAACUACUGGAAACGGUAGCUAAUACCGCAUACCAUCGGAUGUGCCCAGAUGGGAUUAGCUAGUAGGUGGGGUAAAGGCUCAACUAGGCGACGAUCCCUAGCUGGUCUGAUAGGAUGACCAGCCACACUGGAACUGGGACACGGUCCAGACUCCUACGGGAGGCGGCAGUGGGGAAUAUUGCACAAUGGGCGCAAGCCUGAUGCAGCCAUGCCGCGGGUAUGAAGAGGGCCUUCGGGGUGUAAAGUACUUUCAGCGGGGAGGCGUUACCCGCAGAAGAAGCACCGGCUAACUCCGUGCCAGCAGCCGCGGUAAUAC